GACGAACGCUGGCGGCGUGCUUAACACAUGCAAGUCGAACGGUAAGGCCCUUCGGGGUACACGAGUGGCGAACGGGUGAGUAAAACGUGGGUGAUCUGCCCUGCACUUCGGGAUAAGCCUGGGAAACUGGGGCGAAUACCGGAUAGGACCCUGGGAUGCAUGUCCUGGGGUGGAAAGCUUUUGCGGUGUGGGAUGGGUCGGCGGUCUAUCAGAUUGGUGGUGGGGUGAUGGCCUACCAAGGCGACGACGGGUAGCCGGCCUGAGAGGGUGACCGGCCACACUGGGACUGAGAUACGGCCCAGACUCCUACGGGAGGCAGCAGUGGGGAAUAUUGCACAAUGGGCGCAAGCCUGAUGCAGCGACGCCGCGUGAGGGAUGACGGCCUUCGGGUUGUAAACCUCUUUCAGCACCGACGAAGCGCAAGUGACGGUAGGUGCAGAAGAAGGGCCGGCCAACUACGUGCCAGCCGCCGCUGUAA
rnacentral:rRNA from 1 species